rnacentral:misc_RNA from 1 species
AGAACCUCUACCUUCCUCCGACCCCCGGACGCCCACCAACUCCCGUUCACAGAUUCAAACCCCCUAAAUUCAAACAUAAACCUCGCUUCUUCUCUUUCACAAACCCAAAAAUUCGUAGUCGUCUCAGCACACAAACCUAAAAAUUUAAACACAAACUCAGGAAAUCAUUCAAAAACCCAUCUCCUUCUCAUUCACAAAUCAAUCACAAACCCAUGUCCUUCUCGUUCGUAAAUCCAUCACAUAUCGAUGAAAUAUUCUUUUACAACAAAACAAACAGAAAGGAAGAUAUAUUGUCGAUGAAGGAUAGCACAAUAUAUCAGACGCAUGAACGAGGUGGCUGUCAAAGGGGGAUAACACGUCGCACAAUCAGCAAUGAGAUCUAUGAAGGGAGGUCAACACGCUGCACAACCAGCGACCGGUCUAGCGAAAAAUGGAGAGGGUGUCAACUUUAGUUGGUGCACUUGGCUCGACCGGCCAUCUCGUUGGAGAAAAUGAAGGGAUGGGGAGCGACGAAUGAAGAAGACGUCGAUAUCGAAGAGCUGGGUUUUUGUUGAAUGAGAAUUUUAUGAAACAGAAAGAAUUUG